CACAAUCCCUUAGGAUGGGAGUGUACUGAACACAAUUACUCCGCUGCCAGACGACCCUCGCUUGUCCCUACCGGAAAAGCUGUCGUACGCCUUAAUUCAGAGAUCACAGAGUGGAAGUAUCGUCAUAUACUACUACCGAGAAUACGAGAAAUAAACAUGGAGAGGGACAGCAGCACCGACUCUGAUACAUACAUGGAAGACGAUGACUACCAACCUUUUACGUCAAGUCCUUGUUUGAAGCCUCUUCUAACCAUUGCAAGCAUUGCUGAGAUACAGCCUGAGGCAGAUAUGGGUGUAGUGAUAGGAGCCCAGCAAUAGCUACUUCUUACUUCGUGUAAAGGGAACACCAUCCAAAGAAGGAGGGCCAGGCAGAUGUUCUGGACAACAUGAGUGAGAUGGAAUUCUUCAGGCACCUUCGCCUCACAAGGAAAUCUUUUGACGACACCUUUGGCUUGAUACACAAGGCUUAUGGUGAGGAGCCUUCAGGUACAAGCCUUUAUUUGGGUCCAAGAAAAUCUUUGUACCUCACUCUGUUGUAUUUAGGCACAGAGUACCUAUCGUGAAAUCUCGGAAAUGUUCAGUGCGUCACAGACCACAGUGUUUGAGUGUGUCCAGAGAUUGAUUGAUGUCCUGUGUGAGACAGGAGAGGAUGUCUAUUUGUGGCCAACUCCUCAAAUUCCUGAAAUAGAGCAGGGAUUUUAACAAAUGGGAGGAAUUCCUGGUGUGGUGCGGGCCGUCCUUGGUACGAGAGCCGCACCAUGAUUCGCGGUGUUCAUCUUAUGGCUGCAUCAUUUCAAAAUAAACUUCAUAUUUCGACAGUUCUGUUACUAUACAUAUGUCAGUAGCAAAGAACAGUAAAGAUAUCUAGUCAU